UACGAAGGGUGCAAGCGUUACUCGGAAUUACUGGGCGUAAAGCGUGCGUAGGUGGUUCGUUAAGUCCGAUGUGAAAGCCCUGGGCUCAACCUGGGAAUGGCAUUGGAUACUGGCGGGCUAGAGUGCGGUAGAGGAUGGCGGAAUUCCCGGUGUAGCAGUGAAAUGCGUAGAGAUCGGGAGGAACAUCCGUGGCGAAGGCGGCCAUCUGGACCAGCACUGACACUGAGGCACGAAAGCGUGGGGAGCAAACAGGG
rnacentral:rRNA from 1 species